AAUUUUAUCUCAUUCAAUUAUUAAUUAAAAUUUCAAUGUAAAUUUAGCUAUGAGAAGAUUCAAAAAUACAAAAAUUGAUGAAUAUAAACAUUUUGUCAUCGAUGGGAAUAUUGCAAAAUAAUGUCACAGUUGCCAACAAAAUAAAGGAGUAAAUGUUUUGCCAAUGAAAAAUUUAGAUGAAUUAUAAAGAUGGAAAUUCUCUUUUGAAAACUGAUGUAUUCCUUAUAAUGGAUCAUAAUUUCGAUCUAUCCUUGAUGGCUUGUGGUGUCACUUCAAUGAUAAGGGCGAAAGUAUCUUAUCUUGAAUAAUUCUCCAUACUUUUUAGAACUCGGUCUAUUUUUACGAUUAUUUUUCACAUUUUUUUUAAUGGAAAUUUAAUUUGAAAGUAGGGAUCUCCGAGGGCUAUUUUGUUUGGGAGAAUUUUUUUUGAAGCUGAAAAUUCGUUAUUUAGCGCCAUUUAAGGAAAUAAUGUGAAUAGUGACAAUUAAAAUUACAAACAUCAGUUAUUUGAAUUUCAUUUAUUAACAAAAAGUGACAAUUUUUGGUGAAUUUUAAAAGAGAAAAUUUUUUAAAAAGUUUAGAAUCAGUGCGUGUUUUUAAAAUCGUGUGAAUUUUCCAAUCACCUUGGGGGUACUACUUCUAGACAACAAAUGAAUCGUCUAGCGAGAAUGAAGACAAACGAUCAAAGUAUUGUCCCAGACUGUUCACAAUAUUGUCAUGAAUCUCCGGACUGAUCUCAAAGAGGCAACGUUGUUAUCACUUCUACAAGGAAAUCUGCGAUUGGAAUUAAGAAAACAAUGAAUCACCAGGACUUGUGUUUACAUGGUUCGGAAUAAUAAACUCAGGUAUAAGCAGGUCAUAACCGGCGAGAAGAAUAUUUUAUUAGGAUUCACAAAAUUUAAUGAAGAGUAGAUUUUAAAAUCAGUUUACGUGAUUCGUCUUAAAUAAUUAUUUUCUAAUUUUAAUUCAUUCUUUUUUGUCGUUUUUAAUCUUUAAAUUUUUUACCGGGAGUGCUCGAAUUUUCUAAAACCGCGUUCGUUUAAUAAUAAUAAUAAAUAGUAUUUAGAUUAAUUUUUAUUAUGUUUUCGGGAGUGUUCGAAAUUUUUUAAAAUCGCGAGUGAGUGUUUUUUUGAUCCAUCUGAGAUGAUA